UACGGAGGGGGCUAGCGUUGUUCGGAAUUACUGGGCGUAAAGCGCACGUAGGCGGCUUUGUAAGUCAGGGGUGAAAUCCUGGAGCUCAACUCCAGAACUGCCUUUGAUACUGGGAAGCUCGAGUCCGGGAGAGGUGAGUGGAACUCCGAGUGUAGAGGUGAAAUUCGUAGAUAUUCGGAAGAACACCAGUGGCGAAGGCGGCUCACUGGCCCGGUACUGACGCUGAGGUGCGAAAGCGUGGGGAGCAAACAGG
rnacentral:rRNA from 1 species